UAGUUCAGCUUUUCAGGGUCCACACUUUUCUGAAAACAGUGUGUGCAUAUUCUCUAUAGAAAGCAAGUGAAAUAGAUGAUCUCCCAUGUGCAUUCCAGGCUCAUUUUGGCAUUAUCUCAGCUGAUUCCAGGUAGCUAAGACAGGUGUCCAAAAGGAGAGGAAUGAAGGAACUAAAGAAAAGAGAGAUUAAGCUUCUCACUCUCCUAACUGGGGCCUGAGGAAGGUUCAGCUCUUCAUCUCUUGCAGCUUUUGUUCUAGUUUUGUCUGGCAAUAAUGCUUGCCAAGCUUAUGAAUAUUUUCCAAACUGAAAUUUCCCACUGUAUGCAGUGCCCUGAAGAUGGUGCUUCUGUUACAGGGAUAUCUUUAAUCAAGGAUGGAUGUGGGUGUUGCUAGAAUUGCAGUAUGCUUCUCCCACAUCCAUUGCAGAAAACAGCUUUCUAACCUGGAUUGCUUGUGUGACUAAGAUUGUGUCUGGAUAUGAAGAAAGGAGGAGAUGGGGUUUUUCUCUGUCACUUUUCUCUGAAGUCACCUAUGGUUUUGGUUGCAAAAAGGACAGUCUGAUGUUCCUGGAGGAUGACAGCCCCCAGGAUCUGAAGGUGUAACUGUGGUUGCUGCUGUUUUGGUGUGGGAGUCGCAGAAGAUUUGUAUUGUAAUAUCAAAACUAAGACGCUUUUAA